rnacentral:lncRNA from 1 species
UAAGGCAGCAUGUUUAUUGUGAUCCUUCGUAUGAAUAUUCGUCUGUCCUGAUUGAUCCAUUUUGCCCGGCAACAUUUUCUUAUGUACAUUCAAAAGAUGAAAAUUUUAAUUGACACGCAGUCGACUGCCAAAGAUACACCAAAGACCAAAGACCACGUCAAUGUGCAGAACGAUUUGCGUUUACAAACGAGGCGAGUAGUGGGAAUGGAUCCAUAUAAGCCCCACGGGAUCAUACCUGCGGACCAGUUCCAGAAGACAGCGCAAUUAAGAUCCGGGAAGCUUCCUCGCUGGAUUGAGUAUUUAACAAAAAACUACCACAAUUCAUGGAAAUGUGCCCAGAAACUACCACUUUACAAAUUUGUGCCGGAAACUACCACUAUUUGUCUAAUCUUUGACUAAAAACUACCGUGUCUGUAAAUCGGCGCAUCUGUUCAUUUUAAACACACUUAUGACAGGCCUGGCCCACAUGUAAGUGAUGGCAUCAUCAGUCAACGCUGUUUGUACCCGCUGCUGCUCCCCGUUCCGCCGCACACCUCGCCGCCGCUCGUAGCGCCCGCCGCUGCCGCCGUGCCCAAGACCUCCUCCUCCGCGCGAAAGACCUCGGCUCCGGCGCCGUCCUAGCAGCAGACUGUCCUGGCGGCGGCGCGACAGUAGACACCGGUCAUUUACUGCCAUGCGCUAAGGUCGAUGCCGUAGCCGCCGCCCCCGCCGACGGCCGUGAAGCUCCCCGACUGGGAUAGCAUCUGCUUCAAGAAGUCGGCUGGGAUGAACCCGUCAACGGCGCCGGCCGGCGCGCCUGCACCGCUGCCCUGGGUAGCUGCAGUAGACACCUCCGUGGUGACGGGGGAGCCGGGGAGGGGGCCUUGGCGCCGCCCUUGCCACAGCCGUUGCGCCUGUUCUUGCGGCCGCCGCCGAUGGGCACGUCGCGGAGCAUGCCGCCCUCGGUCCAGUGCCGGCGAGCGCAGCAGCGGCGCGUGGCCCGCGUGGCCCGCGUGCCUGCCCCUGCCUCACCUCCACCGCCACGAUGCCGCCCGCCGCGCCGACGCUGUUGCCAUCUCCAGUCCGCAACCAACGCCGGGGAGUGAAGAAGGCGGCCGUGGUGCCCGGUGGUGGUGUUACCCGGCUGCGGCAUGCGAGCGAGCUCAGGGGGAGUGGUGUCUAGGAGCUCCCCUGCUUCCGUCCCAUGCGCAAGAGGUGUUUGUUGAAAUGCCAAAGAAAGAAAGGAGGGGAGGAAGAAGAAGGUUGGUGAUGACGUGUGGGUCCCACCUAUCAGAAAGGCGUUUAGAAGAGGCGAAUCGGGCACUUUCGCGACAGGGUAGUUUUUAGUCAAAGAUUAGGCAAAAAGUGGUAGUUUUUGGCACAAAUUUGUAAAGUGGUAGUUUCUGGGUAUGUUUCCAUGAAUUGUGGUAGUUUUUGGUUAAAUACUCCGCUGGAUUCAACCGGAUCCACG